rnacentral:rRNA from 1 species
AUUGCAGGCUGCAACCCGCCUGCAUGAAGUCGGAAUUGCUAGUAAUCGCGGAUCAGCAUGCCGCGGUGAAUACGUUCCCGGGCCUUGUACACACCGCCCGUCACACCAUGGGAGCCGGUAAUACCCGAAGUCAGUAGUCCAACCUCGUGGGGACGCUGCCGAAGGUAGGAUUGGCGACUGGGGUGAAGUCGUAACAAGGUAUC